AUUCAGUCUAUUAACACAUAGGAAGAAUGAAGCUUUAAGUGACGAUUCUUUACGGUGUUCUGCUGACUGCGUUUUUUGAUAAUGUAAUAGCCAUUGUCAACUCUGAGGUGAUCCAGCUGAAAAUUCUAUUCGAAAGAGCAAGAGAAACGUAUAUAAAAGACCGAGUUGAUCCAGAAACGAUUGCCGACGUGGAAACAGCAGUGCAGAUCUGUUUGGGAGCUCAGCAGAGCCCAAUUAGGGUGACAUUGCGAACAGUCCUCAGAUUGCUCUUGACACUCUGUCAUCAAAAGGAAUCACCAAAGUAUUUCAUAAUAGCAGACUACCCUAGAACAACUACUCCUAACACAACACCAGCUCCUUCAACCAGAGGCUGGGCUCAGGAUAUCAAGAAUCAGUUACAAUUAGUUACCAAAUUAUGUUGUGAGUACUAAUAAAAUAUAUAAUAUAACAUAAUAAAAGUAAAUUUUGAA